GAUGAACGCUGGCGGCGUGCCUAAUACAUGCAAGUCGAGCGAACAGACGAGGAGCUUGCUCCUCUGACGUUAGCGGCGGACGGGGGAGUAACACGUGGAUAACCUACCUAUAAGACUGGGAUAACUUCGGGAAACCGGAGCUAAUACCGGAUAAUAUAUUGAACAGCAUGGUUCAAUAGUGAAAGACGGUUUUGCUGUCACUUAUAGAUGGAUCCGCGCCGCAUUAGCUAGUUGGUAAGGUGACGGCUUACCAAGGCAACGAUGCGUAGCCGACCUGAGAGGGUGAUCGGCCACACUGGAACUGAGACACGGUCCAGACUCCUACGGGAGGCAGCAGUAGGGAAUCUUCCGCAAUGGGCGAAAGCCUGACGGAGCAACGCCGCGUGAGUGAUGAAGGUCUUCGGAUCGUAAAACUCUGUUAUUAGGGAAGAACAAAUGUGUAAGUAACUAUGCACGUCUUGACGGUACCUAAUCAGAAAGCCACGGCUAACUACGUG
rnacentral:rRNA from 1 species